rnacentral:lncRNA from 1 species
GAUUUUUCCAGCAUUGUCUUUUCCUGCCCUUCUUUCCUUUUGUCCUGCCAUGAAAGUGUUUCUGUGACUCAUGGUCACAAGGUGACAUCACUGCCCAUCCCUACUUGGCUUGAAUGGAUGGCCCUUAGGAUUCACAACUUGAAGCGUAAUUACCGUUUUCCUCCCCAGUGCCUCCUGUGCAUGAGUAAAUUAUUUUGGAAGGGUUAAUCUUGGGAGGCAGGAUCAAGUUGUGUUCUAGAAUGUUUGAGAAAUCUGAGUUUGAUUAAUCUAAAAAAUAUAGGAGUUAGGGAGGGCUAUGAUGAUUCUCGUAUUUGAAGAGGAAGGAGAAAUUUGUCUUUAUUUUUUAUUUCUUUGAAACAGAGUCUCUCUCUAUUGCCUUCAAACUCCUCAGCUCAAGCAGUCGUCCCACC